GACGAACCGUGCGAACGUUAUUCGGAAUCACUGGGCUUAAAGCGCGUGUAGGCGGGCCGCCGCGUCGGCUGCUGAAAUCCCCCGGCUCAACCGGGGAACGGGCACCGAUACGGGCGGCCUCGAGGGGGGUAGGGGGGCCUGGAACUUCCGGUGGAGCGGUGAAAUGCGUAGAUAUCGGGAGGAACACCAGUGGCGAAGGCGACUUCCUGGCCUGUUCUUGACGCUGAGGCGCGAAAGCUAGGGGAGCAAACGGG
rnacentral:rRNA from 1 species